ACCAAGGCGACGAUCAGUAGCUGGUCUGAGAGGAUGAUCAGCCACAUUGGGACUGAGACACGGCCCAAACUCCUACGGGAGGCAGCAGUGGGGAAUAUUGGACAAUGGGCGCAAGCCUGAUCCAGCCAUGCCGCGUGAGUGAUGAAGGCCUUAGGGUUGUAAAGCUCUUUUACCUGGGAAGAUAAUGACGGUACCAGGAGAAUAAGCCGGGGCUAACUUCGUGC
rnacentral:rRNA from 1 species